rnacentral:tRNA from 1 species
GGCUGCUCAGCGGUAGAGCGCUCACCUAGCACGUGUGAGGCCCUGGGUUCAAUCCUCUGCACCA